rnacentral:rRNA from 1 species
AGUGAACGCUGGCGGUAUGCCUAACACAUGCAAGUCGAACGGCAACACAGUAAGCGCUCGCCCUUACGGGUGGCGAGUGGCGGACGGGUGAGGAAUACAUCGCAUUCUACUUUUUCUUGGGGGAUAACGUAGGGAAACUUACGCUAAUACCGCAUACGAUCUACGGGUUAAACCAGUGGAUCUUCAGACUUUUCGCGACCCAAUGAGCCGAUGCCGGUUUUGCUAGUUGGCUGGGUAAGGGCCCACCAAGGCGAUGAUCCGUAGCGGAUCUGAGAGGGUGAUCGGCCACACUGGAACUGAGACACGGUCCAGACUCCUACGGGAGGCGGCAGUAGGGAAUAUUGGACAAUGGGCGCGAGCCUGAUCGAGCAAUACCGCGUGGGUGAAGAAGGCCUUCGGGUUGUAAAGCCCUUUUGUUAGGAAAGAAAAGCUGCAUGAUGAAGCGCCGAUGUUCUGACGGUACCUAAAGAAAAAGCGACGGCUAACUUCGUG